rnacentral:lncRNA from 1 species
AGCUGCCUCCAUCUCCCAGAUUAUUAGCCAUUUCGUAUGUGGGAACCAAUGUGAAGAGUGAAGAAAUGUGCACGUGCAAAGUGAAUGUGAGGGACUCAAGGACUUCAUCAUCAAAGUCCUGUGCCGGCUAGCUUCCAGUUGUAUUGAGUCAAUGGAGAAUCUGGCAGAUUGGAGGAAGGAGAAGGUCAUGAUCAUCUGGCAAUUAAAGAAAUGGCCAGACUGCCUCCCACUCUGAGGACCCUUGGCUACCUGACACGUAAUUCCAGAGACCACAGUAGUCAGUGCUGGCAAGAUUCCAGAGCCCAGAAGAAGGUAAGAGGCCCUCCUGAUAAAAAUUGGCCUUCAUGAGAAUACUCCCCUAUGGGUGGGCCUCAUCUGGCAUUUUGAUGUUAAACAAGACUGAAGGCUAACCUUAUAGGCAAGUUGAAAAAAUCAGAGUGGUUAAGAAUUGCUGACAAAGGUUUGACAUUGUGCCCUAAGCAUUUAUUUUGUAGACUUUUUUUAAAAAAAGCUUUAAAAAUAGUAAAAAUAAAAUAAAAUAGUAAAGAUAGCAGUUGGCUGCUGCUAAGUUUUGCUAUUCUUAAAAAGUUAUACUUGGAUAAAUAAAGUAUAACUUAAAUAGAAUAAAUAAAUAACAGUAAAUAAAACUGACUUUAUCUGGAUGUGGGGCAAAAUAUGGGCUUUUUGGUCUGGUUGUGUCACUGUAACUCUUUUGGGUAGUCAGUGAAUGAUCCUCUCACGGACUGAAUCUGCACAUUUCAAAUUAUGAAAAGUUUCACAGACAUUGAAAUUCAAAAGUAAGAACCAAACUACAUAUCUAAUUCAAAUGGAAACAAUUUUGUGGCGCUCUACUUUCUCUUCACUUUAGUGCAGAUAUUUGGGAAUUAGCUAUGGAAGCAGGGGAUUUUCACACAUUUUAUUUUAACCACUACAUAUAAACAAAAUAGGCUGAGAGAAUUUGCAGCUUAAAAUCAGAAAACUCUGCCUUGAAUUUUAUUGUUCCCAAAAUGAAAAUUAGUGUUAAAAAGAAGAAGUCAUUGUAUUCUUCUAACAUAUAUAACAGAAAAUUAAGUAA